AUGCUCUCAUCUGAGUCACCAGGCCAGGGUGUGCUGCUCAUCUGGUCUUUCCGCCGUGGACUGAAGCUCAGCAUUUUGUGCAGCCGUUAUCUUUCAGCUCUCACUGGAGUCAGCAAUCUCACACAGCUUGAUCUCCCCUUUAAUUGGGAAUUUGUCUUCUUCCUUGGCUGCUGGCUGCCUUCAGGAAGGAAUGCACAUUCUCAAUGAUAAAUGUCCAAUGGCUGGCUUCAGGAAAAAAUAUGUGUGAGCACAUUAAGGACCAGAAAAUAUGUGAGCACAGCCUCGCAUAAGAAGUCAGGAUGGCCAGUCCAAAUCAACUGUUUGAUGUUCAUGCUCAGGUAAGUUUUCACCUCCACCUCCAGCCUGCCCACCUUCUUUCUUCCUUGUGCCCCUUGACCUCUUCUCUAGCUGUCAUCUCAGGCCCCUCUAGGGUUGUAGAGAGAAGUCAGAGAAACAGAAGAGCUCCUUCACAACCAGUGCUCUUGUGAGCUGGCUCUGCUUUCUCUGGGCUGGAGUAUCUAGAAGAUGAUUAAAGACCACUCUGUCUCCUGUGGGGAAAAUGCAGGGUUGUGUGGACAUCACCUGCUGGACCACCCAUCCGCCCUUCUCUUGACAUUAGUGAUGUUUCUUUCUUGACCUGCCCUCUUGAUGCCUACCCCGUAGCUCCACCCCCUCCCCACAGCGUCUUAGAGCUAGGGCACCCUUACAUCAUCAAGUCAAGGCCUUUCUGGGACACGAUUCUUCUUUAAAAUUUGGACAGCUCGUACCAAAAUAACCUUCCACAAUUCCAACUCUCUUCAUUCCUUCACAUUCCCCUUGUGGGAAAGAUGUCUGUUGACUUAGGGAACCUGUUCUUCGUUAGUUCUUUUGAAAAUUUGCAGCUGGAACAUCAUUGUUGGCAUUUCCUAGGUACUGAGUUGUUGGGCAUUUUAAACUUCUGUUUGAUCAUCCUGCUACAUGUGUUAUAGCGAUGAUUCAGAUCAUAAGAGUUUAUCCCCUGUUAUGUGUAUGCUAUGCAGUGCUUAGGACUCUGAGAGAAGCCGAGAGUUGUAAGCCUUCUCUGCACGUGGGUGGCAGUCUUAAGGAGGCUUUAGAGAGGAGGGCCUUCUUCCCCUCCUCUAAAGGCUAAAGGAUGGAGAAAUUUUGCACCAAGAUUGAGAGCAGAAAAGAGUAUGUUGUUAAGAGGAUGUUGUGCAUAAAUAAAGCUACAAGGGGAGCUAGACCUUGUGUGUGG
rnacentral:lncRNA from 1 species